GGAGAUUUAGCCCAGCGGUAGAGCGCUUGCCUAGCAAGCGCGAGGCCCUGGGUUCGGUCCCCAGCUCCG
rnacentral:tRNA from 1 species